rnacentral:rRNA from 1 species
UUUUAGUGGCGGACGGGUGAGGAACGCGUAAGAACCUACCCUUAGGAGAGGGACAACAACUGGAAACGGUUGCUAAUACCUCAUAUGCUGAGGAGUAAAAGGGUCGAAAGAUUUCGCCUAGGGAUGGGCUUGCGUCUGAUUAGCUUGUUGGUGGGGUAAAGGCCUACCAAGGCAACGAUCAGUAGCUGGUCUGAGAGGAUGAUCAGCCACACUGGGACUGAGACACGGCCCAGACUCCUACGGGAGGCAGCAGUGAGGAAUUUUCCGCAAUGGGCGAAAGCCUGACGGAGCAAUGCCGCGUGGAGGAUGACAGCCUGUGGGUCGUAAACUCCUUUUCUCAGAGAAGAAGUUCUGACGGUAUCUGAGGAAUAAGCAUCGGCUAACUCUGUGCCAGCAGCCGCGGUAAGACAGAGGAUGCAAGCGUUAUCCGGAAUGAUUGGGCGUAAAGCGUCUGUAGGUGGUUUAUUAAGUCUACUGUUAAAGAUCAGGGCUUAACCCUGAGCAGGCAAUAGAAACUAAUAAGCUAGAGUACGGUAGGGGCAGAGGGAAUUCCCGGUGUAGCGGUGAAAUGCGUAGAGAUCGGGAAGAACACCAACGGUGAAAGCACUCUGCUGGGCCGAAACUGACACUGAGAGACGAAAGCUAGGGG